rnacentral:rRNA from 1 species
GGCCUUUGUGACUGCCAGCAGACGACCCGCGAACAUGUUUAUCAAUGGCGGAAGGGGCCUUGUGCUCCUGCCGCAAGGUUCUGUGAGGUGGGAAACACCACGCGGUUGCUUUGAAAACCAACCCCGGCACGAAAAGUGCCAGGGAAUACUAUCGAAAAAGUGAAUACUCCCUCAUCGACCCAGGAAUGGUGCGCGCAUGAGGGGUGUUUAUACUUGGAAAACUAAAACGACUCUCGGCAACGGAAUUCUCGGCCCUUCGCAUCGAUGAAGAACGUACCGAAAUGCGAUAUUGGGGGUGAAUUGCAGAAUCCCGUGAACCAUCGAGUCUUUGAACGCAGGUGGGGCCCCAAAGCCUUCGGGUUAGGGGCCCGUCGGCCUGGUUGUAACCCAACGCCCCUCCACCUUUUUUUCAUUGGGAAUAAAAAAUGAAGUGGACCGAAAGUGGCCUCCCGGGGGUUUAUGGUUCGUGGUUGGUAAAACAUGAGUCCAGUCGGCAAGUGCCAUGCAAUUCGUUGGUGUAACACCACUUGAUAUUGCCGUAAUACCUGGCAAAACCAUAAGGUCUCAGGACCCUUUAUAUAACUGACGCACCCCAGGUCAGCGGGAUUACCCGCUGAGUUAAGCAUAUCAUAGCGGAGGAAGAU